rnacentral:lncRNA from 1 species
AUACCAGUGUCUGGUCUUCAUUCUUUGGUAGGUGUCUAGCAGCCACUUGAUGCCUAGAGGAUCAGUCACGUUCCACUAAAGAGUUAGUCUUUCACUUUAUGUUUGUGUUUAUACACUAUGAACAUGUUUAUGUUAAUGUUGCCAUGUUGGACAUUCUAUAUUGUUAAUGUUAUGUAUGAGUUUAUGAUGAUGGCUGGAGAGCCGACAUGGACACUUGAGGGUGUUGCUGAUAGCUAAUCUUAAUGUGCUCUAUGAUACUUGCACUUUUUCAUAUUUAUUUAUACCAAAUGCUUGAGCUUAUACAAUUAAGUUGAUAAGUUUUUUAAUUGUAUAAUGAGUUUCAUGAAUGUAUUUUUUAUGAUUACAUAUGUUAAUGGAUAUUAUAUCAUUCUUUUGUGUGUGAUGAUGAAUGUUUGAGGAUGUUAUAAUGAGAGGCUUGCUUGGGCCUAACAAGUUAUGCUCAUUUGGGUCUAUGCGCCAGUUACGAUCCCUCCAGGAAAUGGGAUGUGAUGUUUCAUAAGACAAGUUGGGUGAAGAAAGAAAUCAAUUCUAAUUAGGAUUUACUCAUCAGACUACAUAAGCAACGGCCUACUUCCAUGCAGAACUAGGCAGCGUGAUAAACAUGAAAGUUGUAUCUUUUUCUCUUAACUUUCUAGUCGUCUAAGAAUCAUCUCAUUUGGAUUUCGUAAAGAGAGUUCUAUUCAAAAUACCUAAACAUGUGUAGUGGAAGUCUGCACCUUGAAUCUGCUCUCAUUUUUUCAUUAAAAGUCUUCAUUCAAUAAACACCUACAAAAGUACAAAUAAAUCAAGAACAACCUAUCUUAAGAAUAUUAACACCAAUUUAAGCAUAAAAUUAACUAAGAUUAGAUUGACUCACCUAAAUAAGUUAAAAUAAUUAGAUAAAACUUACUAAUUUCUCUGAAUUACUACAAGAACUAAACUAAUUUAUUAUCAAAAUUAAAACUAAAUAACUCUAUAUCAUAGAGUUAUUAGAGUAUGACACAAAACAAAAGGGCCGAUGCCUAUUAGAUGCCAUAUGUUCACUUACCCAAGACUGACUGAAGUAUUGUCUUUUCCUAAUAGACAACGACCCAAGCAACUAUUGAUCUACUAAACAAGUGCAUCUUACAUGUGUGAGUUAUAAAUAACUCUAUGAGCAGACACAAAGAAGGGGAACAAGCUAAAUAAAAGAGUGUUUAUCAAAGACACUUUUAAAAAUAAUGUAAGUAAUCCAUUUCAAAGCAAUAUCAAAGUUUGUAUUUCCACUAUAACGUAUAUUCAACAAUUUUGGGAAUUCAAUCCUUGAGCUAAAUCAAGUAUCUUAAGGUGCGAGUUAUGUACCUAAUAUGAUCACGUAUCAAAAUAAACUUCAAUACCAUUGUCUCGAUGGAUCGAAACUAAAUUAAAAGGAUUCUAUAAAGUUUUAUUGAAAACCUAUUCUUAAACCUUUGAAAUAAGAAUCAUGAUUUGUAAACCAUUCAAGUAUUUCCAAGAAGACAAUUUAUAAAAUCGGGUUUUAAAGCUUUCAUAAAAGAUGUUGAGGAAAACAAAGGUUUAGUUUCAAAGAAAGUGAAACAACGUUAUUAUCUAUAGAAAAACCUUGAAGGAAACGAAUGGAUUUCAAAAGUAACAUAAUUUGAAUUACAUUGAGUAAACCAAGUCCAAACACCAAAGUCAGGGUAAAUACCCAAACCAAAGAUCAAGUUCGAGACGAAUACAAAUUUAAAUGCCCUCAUCAAAGCAAAUAUCGAACUCAAGCAUCAUGGUCGAAACCAAUAUUAAAUCCAAAGACCAAAGUCUAAACAAAUAUCAAUCCCAAGUCUCAAGUCAAAAUAAUAAUAGUUUCGAAGUCUAAAAACAAUGCAAAUAUCGAAUCCAAAAUCCAUAGUGUCAAGUAUCAUUUGAAAUAGAUUGUGGAGAACUAGAUAGCAUGGACAAUCAAACCAAAGUGGUAAGAUCCAUAAUGGUCGUCGACCAUAUAUCAAGGGUGGUAGGAUCAUAUCAACUACCAAUCAAAACCAAAUCAAAAGGGUAUGACUCUGUCAACUACCUAAUCAAAGCUAAGCAUUACGCACAAUAGCUAGUGGCUACUAUCACUAGCUAUAGGUCCAUAACUCAAGUAAGCUCUACUACAAUAUUUUUAUGCCAUGUUUCCAAAUAUCCAAAUAUUCAUUUCCAAUGAAAAGAUAAAUGCAUUUACCAUGCAAGAUCAAAGGGUUCAAAACAAAAUGAAGUCAACAUGUCAAAGUUUCAUUUCCAAAAAAAGGGUGAAUCCAAUCACCAAUCAAAGGAGUGCAAACAAAACUAAGUCAAGUCAUCAAUCAUCCAAAUAACCAUAGACAAAUUAAAUUUUAAGGCAUCAAACAAUUGAUAGGCUUACUCCCUAUGCUCAAAACUAAAUAUAUACUAACAUAUUUAUGUAGUACAUGUAGAUUUCAUAAAGCAAGCUCAAAACCACUGUUCACAUCACAAAGUUUAUCAAAAUAUGUUUUAAUGCGAGGUUAUAGAAUAGGCAUGCUUAUUAAAAUAAUUAAAAAAGCCUUAUCUACCCACAUCUUGAAGGGUGCCAUUUCCUCUUGGCACUUUUCAUCAAAAGCUCAGCUGCUUUAACAAACUCAAAUUACUCGAAUAACACCUAAAAAUGUGGUUUAAUCAUCAUCAAUCUCAAAAACCCAUAAAAUUCUGAAAUACCUAGAAAACAUAUUUCUAACUUUAUUUAAUCUUCACUUAUUCCUAAUAAGUUCUAUAAAUCUUUCAUCCAACCCUCAUACCCAAUGAAUAAAAAACUUAUUUUACCUAUUUUUUCGUCUUGGUGAGCUUUGGACAAAGGGAUCCAGCCAAAUCUCGAAAGCCUAGAGAAACUUCUAUCUUUUGGAAAGAGAAAACAAAAAUCAUCAAAACCAAGUUUUUGGGAGUGAAAAUCCUUACCUUUAGCACUUAUAAUCCAAGAUUGGUUUGUCAUGACCCAAAUUCGAGGGUCAUGACCGGUGCACAAGCUCAGCAGCCAAGCCUACUAGACUUGAGUAGGUCUUAAAGUUCAUAUUCAAACAUACAUAGGCGAAGGGAUUCGAUCAUCAAAUAUUCAUAAUAAAUUUGAAUAAAAUACAAUGUCCCUGACUUAAUUUCCAUACAAAUAGUAAUAGGGCCAUACAUUAGCCAUCCAAACAAGUUUAUACAUAGUAAUCCGUACUACACAAUAUAACAAGGCAAAAUCAGUCUUGUUGCAUUAAAAUCAAUUCACAUGCAAAUGGGAAAUUUUCAAGAUUUAUCAUGCCAUAUAAUCACAUAUUAUAAUCAUAAUAUUUCUAUUGCAUAUACAUAUGCUUAAGCAUAUAUCAAUUAAUAUACCACCACACCUCAUCCAGCCUAUGUACAUCAUCACUGGCAUGUGCACUACCCACUCUGCACAUGCACAGUUGUAAUUAUCACGACAUCAUCAUUACCGGCAUGUGCACUACCCACUCCACACAUGCAUGGUUGUAAUUAUCACGACAGCAUCAUUACCGGCAUGUGUACUGCCCACUCCGCACAUGCACGGUUGUAAUUAUCACGACAGCAUCAUUACCGGCAUGCGCAUUGCCCACUCCACACCUGCACGAUUGCAUUUGUCACACAAUGGUACCAUUUAUGGCAUAGUAUAUAUAUAUAUAUCAUUAUACAGAAACAUAUGAAUUCAUCACACUAUCCAUUUCAUAACAUAAAAACAUUUCAUAAGGGCUUGUUCCCGUGCAAGUUUUUGAAGAAAAACCAAUAAAAAUGUUUUAGAGGAUUCAAUCAAACAUAAACAUGCAUAUACCAAGACAUUUUAAUGCAAGUUCACUCACCUGGCAACAAUGAGAUUUUAAAUCGCUAUUUAUUCGAAGGUGUCUCUAACUAUUUUCACUGGUAGGUCGCUCGUUAUUUACUCCAGCAUGCCACCACAGUUCUCUAACUUUAUCUUUGCACUUCCUAGCAAUAUUACGAACUCAAUAUAUUUAAUUACAUACGUAUACGGGCAACACCUCAAUCAAUUAAUCCUUACUCAAAUUUAUAUUUUCAUCCUAUCAUGAAAUCAUCUUCAAUUAACUCACAUCUUAAUACAUUUUUACCAAAAUUACUUACAUCCAUUGCUUACGAAAUUCCUUAGAUUAUAUCACUGGCAACUUAUUUAUGAUGUCACGUGCCUACUUCAACCUUUCUAAAUAAUUUUUGCCUAAAUCCAUCUUAUAUUUCCACACAUAAUCCACAUAUAUGGCAACAACAAUUAUUCUCACUUUCACUCAAUUAUUUCCUAGUUUACACACAUUGUUAUCUACCUAACUUUCAAUACUUUGUUUCUUAAUCCUCCAUCCACAAUAUUCCUUUUUUUAUUUCUUUCAAACAACAUGCCAUACAAUCUUAACAAUUUUCAACUAGCUUAGGCAAAUAAAUCCUUUCAACAACCAUAGUUCCUCACAAUAUUCCACUAACUGUAGGCUUUAAAACAUAGUGUUAAUCUUACCGUUUUCCUUUUCCACUUUCAAUCCUUCAUGUACCCAUGGGUUUAUUAGCUUACAUGUUACCAAUUUUUCUCCAAUGAAGCCAAUCUUUGCUGCCACUAGACAUUUCUCUAAGUCACUAACUCAUUUUCAAAUACUACUCAAGCCAAAAAUAAGAAUUCUUACCGUUCCUUGCUUGAAUCACCAAAACCAAGCUUUUUCUUCCUUUCUCUCUUUUUCUUUCUUCUCCUCUUAGGGUUUUGGUGUGCUGGAAAUUGGGGUUAAAGGCUGCAAAGUUAAUGGUCAAGAAGUUUGGAGAAGAAAGGAAAAGAAAACAUAGAAAGGAAAGUGAAGAAAACUUGAUUUCAUGGUGGAUAAAGAGAAAAUGGCAUGGAAGCUUCAAGAAUGGCAUGGAGCAUGGAUGAAGAAGAAGAAAAAUCUGCUGGGGGAAAGGAUAAGGUCAAUCUUUGCCUAAAAAAAUCAGAGUCAAAGCUUCCUUUGGAAGCUUUGACCAAACUUUACAUAAAAUUACUGUUUUGCCCUAUUUUUGUUUCCUUCCAUUUUAUUUUAGUCCUCC